AUUGAACGCUGGCGGCAUGCCUUACACAUGCAAGUCGAACGGCAGCGGACCUUCGGGUGCCGGCGAGUGGCGAACGGGUGAGUAAUAUAUCGGAACGUACCUUUCAGUGGGGGAUAACGUAGCGAGAGUUACGCUAAUACCGCAUAUUCUGUGUGCAGGAAAGCAGGGGAUCGCAAGACCUUGCGCUGAUUGAGCGGCCGAUAUCAGAUUAGCUAGUUGGUGAGGUAAAGGCUCACCAAGGCGACGAUCUGUAGCGGGUCUGAGAGGAUGAUCCGCCACACUGGAACUGAGACACGGUCCAGACUCCUACGGGAGGCAGCAGUGGGGAAUUUUGGACAAUGGGCGCAAGCCUGAUCCAGCCAUGCCGCGUGAGUGAAGAAGGCCUC
rnacentral:rRNA from 1 species